CCGAGUUUACAACUCCCAAACCCAAUGUGAACGUUACCAAACUGUUGCCUCGGCGGGAUCUCUGCCCCGGGUGCGUCGCAGCCCCGGGCCAAGGCGCCCGCCGGAGGACCAACCAAAACUCUUAUUGUAUACCCCCUCGCAGGUUUUUUUUAUAAUCUGAGCCUUCUCGGCGCCUCUCGUAGGCGUUUCGAAAAUGAAUCA
rnacentral:misc_RNA from 1 species